UGCAUGUAUUUCAAUUGUGGAUGUUAGAGUUUUUUCAAGUUUAUGGUAGUACUAACUUUCGUGUUGUGCUUUAAGUGUAAACAGUUAAUCUAAACACUUGAGAAUUGAGUGAAUUUUAUCCUGUGAGGAUCUUACUGUUGUUGAUGUACUCUUUGGUAAUCUAUUUUCCUAUCCGCUUUGAAUGUCAGAAAAAGUUGCUUACUAACACUAUAUUCUUGAAGCUUAGGUUAGAAUUAUGUUUGUACCUUAUAUCUUGAAAACUUUUGGAAGUGCAUGCUCUG
rnacentral:lncRNA from 1 species